rnacentral:lncRNA from 1 species
UCCCCGAUCAUUUGGCAGCACUCUGCCGGUCUUCUCUCCUGGUUCUUUGUUCUGUGCUCCGUUUCAAGUACAACUUUAAGGGUCCGGCUCUAGGUAGUUCUUUUUGGCCUCGAACGUCCCAGUCUCUCCUUUCACACGAAGAGCACCCUGAAAUCUGAUAACAAAUCAGAUCACUCUCUCCCUUCUUAUUGGGCUCCUCUCCACUCUCCUUGCUUUUUAGAAACAGUGAGUGGC